UACGUAGGGUGCAAGCGUUGUUCGGAAUUAUUGGGCGUAAAGCGUAUGUAGGUGGACUUAAAAGUCAGGUGUGAAAGCCCACGGCUUAACUGUGGAAUUGCGCUUGAAACUGCAAGUCUAGAGGAUGGAAGAGGUAAGUGGAAUUCCUAGUGUAGAGGUGAAAUUCGUAGAUAUUAGGAGGAACACUCGUGGCGAAGGCGGCUUACUGGUCCAUUCCUGACACUGAAAUACGAAAGCAUGGGUAGCAAACAGG
rnacentral:rRNA from 1 species